UACGAAGGGGGCUAGCGUUGUUCGGAUUUACUGGGCGUAAAGCGCACGUAGGCGGAUCGAUCAGUCAGGGGUGAAAUCCCAGAGCUCAACUCUGGAACUGCCUUUGAUACUGUCGAUCUGGAGUAUGGAAGAGGUGAGUGGAAUUCCGAGUGUAGAGGUGAAAUUCGUAGAUAUUCGGAAGAACACCAGUGGCGAAGGCGGCUCACUGGACUGGUAUUGACGCUGAGGUGCGAAAGCGUGGGGAGCAAACAGG
rnacentral:rRNA from 1 species